AGAGUUUGAUCCUGGCUCAGGACGAACGCUGGCGGCGUGCUUAACACAUGCAAGUCAAGGAGAACGGAUCCUUCGGGAUACUAUUAAACUGGCGAACGGGUGAGUAACACGUAGGCAACCUGCCUUGGAGAUUGGGAUAACCCCGGGAAACCGGGACUAAUACCAAAUAAUGCAGCGGAUCCUUCGGGAUAUGUUGUUAAAGUGGGCUUCGGCUCACACUUCAAGAUGGGCCUGCGUCCGAUUAGCUUGUUGGUGAGGUAAUGGCUCACCAAGGCGAUGAUCGGUAGCUGGUCUGAGAGGAUGAUCAGCCACACUGGGAUUGAGAUACGGCCCAGACUCCUACGGGAGGCAGCAGUGGGGAAUUUUGCGCAAUGGACGAAAGUCUGACGCAGCAACGCCGCGUGAUCGAUGAAGCUUCUAGGAGUGUAAAGAUCUGUCGUGAGGGAAGAAAAAUCUGGAUGUAAAUAAUGUUCAGACUUGACGGUACCUCAUAAGAAAGCACCGGCUAACUUCGUGCCAGCAGCCGCGGUAAUACGAGGGGUGCUAGCGUUGUCCGGAAUUACUGGGCGUAAAGGGUCCGUAGGCGUCUUGCCAAGUUGAUCGUUAAAUCCACCGGCUUAACCGGUGAUCUGCGAUCAAAACUGGCAGGAUAGAAUAUGUGAGGGGAAUGUGGAAUUCCUGGUGUAGCGGUGACAUGCGUAGAUAUCAGGAGGAACACCAAUGGCGAAGGCAGCAUUCUGGCACAAUAUUGACGCUGAGGGACGAAAGCGUGGGGAGCAAACAGGAUUAGAUACCCUGGUAGUCCACGCCGUAAACGAUGAGUACUUGGUGGUGGGGGAUUCGACCCCUUCACUAUCGGAGCUAACGCGUUAAGUACUCCGCCUGGGGAAUACGGCCGCAAGGCUGAAACUCAAAGGAAUUGACGGGGACCCGCACAAGCGGUGGAACAUGUGGUUUAAUUCGAUGCAACGGAAGAACCUUACCUGGUCUUGACAUCCUCGGACCGCUUCAGAGAUGAAGUUUCCUCUUCGGAGGCCGAGUGACAGGUGCUGCAUGGCUGUCGUCAGCUCGUGUCGUGAGAUGUUGGGUUAAGUCCCGCAACGAGCGCAACCCUUGUUUGCUGUUGCCAUCAGUUCGGCUGGGCACUCUGCGGAGACUGCCGGUGAUAAACCGGAGGAAGGUGGGGAUGACGUCAAGUCAGCAUGGCCUUUAUGUCCGGGGCUACACACGUGCUACAAUGGCCGGUACAGAGCGUCGCGAACCCGCGAGGGGAAGCUAAUCGCAGAAAAACUUUCUCAGUUCGGAUUGUAGGCUGCAACUCGCCUGCAUGAAGUUGGAAUCGCUAGUAAUCGCGGAUCAGCACGCCGCGGUGAAUACGUUCCCGGGCCUUGUACACACCGCCCGUCACAUCACGAAAGUUGGCUGUACUAGAAGUCGCCGAGCUAACCCGUUCGCGGGAGGCAAGCGCCGAAGGUAUGGUUGAUGAUUGGGGUGAAGUCGUAACAAGGU
rnacentral:rRNA from 1 species